rnacentral:rRNA from 1 species
CCCCCUCACACCAACAUGAAUGGUCAGCUGGAGGAAGAUAAAGAUUUGAUGAUCAGAUCUCAGAAGCUCAGUAGGGCUGGGCCUGGUUAGUACUUGGAUGAGAGAUCGCUGGGAAUACCACGU